rnacentral:other from 2 species
GUUCUACUGCGGCGUUGGUGACUACCAACAUAGUUUUACGAUCUAUGUCUAAGUUUAUAAGGGAGUCAAAGAUGCUCUAGCGGCAGUAAACCGAGCUUGUACUCGGAAACUUUAAGCAGGAGCCAUGAUGCCCACCUGGAUAUUCCAGGUCGAAAACUGAGGUAAGACGGCGUUGCGGGGAACCC